rnacentral:snRNA from 1 species
UGCUUUGGGCUGUGGCAGUGUAGCCAGUGAAAUUUAUCCAAGGCAUGAUUAUUGCUAAUUGAAAACCUUUCUUGAUACCUUGCCGUGACGACUUGAAAUAUAGUUGGAAUUGGCAAUUUUUGACAGUCUUUACAAAGA